AUUGAGUGGGAAUAAAAGUGUAAGUUAAAUUGAUUGGGGAAAGCCUAUUUUGAAGGUUUUCCCCAUUUUUGUAAGGUAAUAAAAUGGUUAGAAAUAAAUAGUUCCCCACCAAAAACCCAGAAUUGAGC
rnacentral:sRNA from 17 species